UACGUAGGCAGCGAGCGUUGUUCGGAAUUACUGGGCGUAAAGAGUGUGUAGGCGGUGUUCCCAGUCUGUUGUGAAAUCUCCCGGCUUAACUGGGAGGGUGCAGCGGAAACUAGAAUGCUAGAGGGUGGGAGAGGCGAGUGGAAUUCCCAGUGUAGCGGUGAAAUGCGUAGAUAUUGGGAGGAACACCAGCGGCGAAGGCGGUGCUCUGGGCCGGAACUGACACUGAGGAGCGAAAGCGUGGGUAGCAAACAGG
rnacentral:rRNA from 1 species